UACGAAGGGGGCUAGCGUUGUCCGGAAUUGCUGGGCGUAAAGCGUGCGCAGGCGGUUCGCUAAGACAGAUGUGAAAUCCCCGGGCUUAACCUGGGAACUGCAUUUGUGACUGGCGGGCUAGAGUAUGGCAGAGGGGGGUAGAAUUCCACGUGUAGCAGUGAAAUGCGUAGAGAUGUGGAGGAAUACCGAUGGCGAAGGCAGCCCCCUGGGCCAAUACUGACGCUCAUGCACGAAAGCGUGGGGAGCAAACAGG
rnacentral:rRNA from 1 species